CUCUAUGGUGCAUCCAACCUUAAAAAUCAGCUUAAGAAUGAAGGGCUACCCUCCUCAGGAAAGUAGCAACUUGGAAUAAAAUCUGGCACGCCUCAGGUGUCUGAGGAAAGGGGGUGUUCAUUUCCUUUGCCUGCCUUUGGCUGCCUACAUGU